rnacentral:rRNA from 1 species
GGGUUCUGGGGGGAGUAUGGUCGCAAGGCUGAAACUUAAAGGAAUUGACGGAAGGGCACCACCAGGCGUGGAGCCUGCGGCUUAAUUUGACUCAACACGGGGAAACUCACCAGGUCCAGAUGAAAUAAGGAUUGACAGAUUGAGAGCUCUUUCUUGAUUUUUCAGGUGGUGGUGCAUGGCCGUUCUUAGUUCGUGGGGUGACUUGUCUGCUUAAUUGCGAUAACGAGCGAGACCUUACUCUGCUAAAUAGCCAGGCUAGCUUUGGCUGGUCGCCGGCUUCUUAGAGAGACUAUCAACUCAAGUUGAUGGAAGUUUGAGGCAAUAACAGGUCUGUGAUGCCCUUAGAUGUUCUGG